rnacentral:rRNA from 1 species
GACGUAGGGGGCGAGCGUUGUCCGGAUUUAUUGGGCGUAAAGCGUGCGUAGGCGGCUGCGCAAGUCGGGUGUGAAACCCCGGGGCUCAACCCCGGAACUGCAUCCGAUACUGCGUGGCUAGAGGUAGGUAGGGGAGAUCGGAAUUCCUGGUGUAGCGGUGAAAUGCGCAGAUAUCAGGAGGAACACCGGUGGCGAAGGCGGUUCUCUGGGCCUGACCUGACGCUGAGGAGCGAAAGCGUGGGGAGCGAACAGG